rnacentral:rRNA from 1 species
GCUGGCGGCGUGCCUAAUACAUGCAAGUCGAGCGAAUGGAUUGAGAGCUUGCUCUCAAGAAGUUAGCGGCGGACGGGUGAGUAACACGUGGGUAACCUGCCCAUAAGACUGGGAUAACUCCGGGAAACCGGGGCUAAUACCGGAUAACAUUUUGAACUGCAUGGUUCGAAAUUGAAAGGCGGCUUCGGCUGUCACUUAUGGAUGGACCCGCGUCGCAUUAGCUAGUUGGUGAGGUAACGGCUCACCAAGGCAACGAUGCGUAGCCGACCUGAGAGGGUGAUCGGCCACACUGGGACUGAGACACGGCCCAGACUCCUACGGGAGGCAGCAGUAGGGAAUCUUCCGCAAUGGACGAAAGUCUGACGGAGCAACGCCGCGUGAGUGAUGAAGGCUUUCGGGUCGUAAAACUCUGUUGUUAGGGAAGAACAAGUGUUAGUUGAAUAAGCUGGCACCUUGACGGUACCUAACCAGAAAGCCACGGCUAACUACGUGCCAGCAGCCGCGGUAAUACGUAGGUGGCAAGCGUUAUCCGGAAUUAUUGGGCGUAAAGCGCGCGCAGGUGGUUUCUUAAGUCUGAUGUGAAAGCCCACGGCUCAACCGUGGAGGGGUCAUUGGAAACUGGGGAGACUUGAGUGCAGAAGAGGAAGGUGGAAUUCCAUGUGUAGCGGUGAAAUGCGUAGAGAUAUGGAAGGAACA